GACGAACGCUGGCGGCGUGCUUAACACAUGCAAGUCGAACGGAAAGGCCCUGCUUUUGUGGGGUGCUCGAGUGGCGAACGGGUGAGUAACACGUGAGUAACCUGCCCUUGACUUUGGGAUAACUUCAGGAAACUGGGGCUAAUACCGGAUAGGAGCUCCUGCUGCAUGGUGGGGGUUGGAAAGUUCCGGCGGUUGGGGAUGGACUCGCGGCUUAUCAGCUUGUUGGUGGGGUAGUGGCUUACCAAGGCUUUGACGGGUAGCCGGCCUGAGAGGGUGACCGGCCACAUUGGGACUGAGAUACGGCCCAGACUCCUACGGGAGGCAGCAGUGGGGAAUAUUGCACAAUGGGCGGAAGCCUGAUGCAGCAACGCCGCGUGCGGGAUGACGGCCUUCGGGUUGUAAACCGCUUUCGCCUGUGACGAAGCGUGAGUGACGGUAAUGGGUAAAGAAGCACCGGCUAACUACGUGCCAGCAGCCGCGGUGAUACGUAGGGUGCGAGCGUUGUCCGGAUUUAUUGGGCGUAAAGGGCUCGUAGGUGGUUGAUCGCGUCGGAAGUGUAAUCUUGGGGCUUAACCCUGAGCGUGCUUUCGAUACGGGUUGACUUGAGGAAGGUAGGGGAGAAUGGAAUUCCUGGUGGAGCGGUGGAAUGCGCAGAUAUCAGGAGGAACACCAGUGGCGAAGGCGGUUCUCUGGGCCUUUCCUGACGCUGAGGAGCGAAAGCGUGGGGAGCGAACAGGCUUAGAUACCCUGGUAGUCCACGCUGUAAACGGUGGGUACUAGGUGUGGGGUCCAUUCCACGGGUUCCGUGCCGUAGCUAACGCUUUAAGUACCCCGCCUGGGGAGUACGGCCGCAAGGUUAAAACUCAAAGGAAUUGACGGGGCCCCGCACAAGCGGCGGAGCAUGCGGAUUAAUUCGAUGCAACGCGUAGAACCUUACCUGGGUUUGACAUGGAUCGGGAGUGCUCAGAGAUGGGUGUGCCUCUUUUGGGGUCGGUUCACAGGUGGUGCAUGGCUGUCGUCAGCUCGUGUCGUGAGAUGUUGGGUUAAGUCCCGCAACGAGCGCAACCCUUGUUCACUGUUGCCAGCACGUUAUGGUGGGGACUCAGUGGAGACCGCCGGGGUCAACUCGGAGGAAGGUGGGGAUGACGUCAAGUCAUCAUGCCCCUUAUGUCCAGGGCUUCACGCAUGCUACAAUGGCUGGUACAGAGAGUGGCGAGCCUGUGAGGGUGAGCGAAUCUCGGAAAGCCGGUCUCAGUUCGGAUUGGGGUCUGCAACUCGACCUCAUGAAGUCGGAGUCGCUAGUAAUCGCAGAUCAGCAACGCUGCGGUGAGUACGUUCCCGGG
rnacentral:rRNA from 1 species